rnacentral:tRNA from 1 species
UAGGUGAAAGCCAAAGAGAGGCGCCUAGCUGUUAAUUAGGAGAUUGUGGAAUAGUUACUCACCUAG